CGGCAGGCCACGCCUCCCUAACGAGGUGCUUUCUAUCUGGAAGGAUAGCUUUG
rfam:Rhizobium sp. Root483D2 contig_26, whole genome shotgun sequence.